rnacentral:rRNA from 1 species
AGUACCGAAGUUCCUGAUUCCACACUGCCAAGAAAAGCUUCUAGCGAGGUAGAAGGUGCCCGUACCGCAAACCGACACAGGUAGGCGAGGAGAGAAUCCUAAGGUGAGCGAGAGAACUCUCGUUAAGGAACUCGGCAAAAUGACCCCGUAACUUCGGGAGAAGGGGUGCUUUUUGGGGUGAAUAGCCCCGAGAAGCCGCAGUGAAUAGGCCCAGGCGACUGUUUAGCAAAAACACAGGUCUCUGCGAAGCCGUAAGGCGAAGUAUAGGGGCUGACGCCUGCCCGGUGCUGGAAGGUUAAGAGGAGCGCUUAAAGCUUUGGCUUGAAGGUGUGAAUUGAAGCCCCAGUAAACGGCGGCCGUAACUAUAACGGUCCUAAGGUAGCGAAAUUCCUUGUCAGGUAAGUUCUGACCCGCACGAAAGGCGCAACGAUCUGGGCACUGUCUCAACGAGAGACUCGGUGAAAUUAUAGUACCUGUGAAGAUGCAGGUUACCCGCGACAGGACGGAAAGACCCCGUGGAGCUUUACUGUAGCCUGAUAUUGAAUUUCGGUACAGCUUGUACAGGAUAGGUAGGAGCCAUAGAAGCCGGAGCGCUAGCUUCGGUGGAGGCGUCGGUGGGAUACUACCCUGGCUGUAUUGACAUUCUAACCCGCGCCCCUAAUCGGGGUGGGAGACAGUGUCAGGUGGGCAGUUUGACUGGGGCGGUCGCCUCCUAAAGAGUAACGGAGGCGCCCAAAGGUUCCCUCAGAAUGGUUGGAAAUCAUUCGUAGAGUGUAAAGGCACAAGGGAGCUUGACUGCGAGACCUACAAGUCGAGCAGGGACGAAAGUCGGGCUUAGUGAUCCGGUGGUUCCGCAUGGAAGGGCCAUCGCUCAACGGAUAAAAGCUACCCCGGGGAUAACAGGCUUAUCUCCCCCAAGAGUCCACAUCGACGGGGAGGUUUGGCACCUCGAUGUCGGCUCAUCGCAUCCUGGGGCUGUAGUCGGUCCCAAGGGUUGGGCUGUUCGCCCAUUAAAGCGGUACGCGAGCUGGGUUCAGAACGUCGUGAGACAGUUCGGUCCCUAUCCGUCGUGGGCGUAGGAAAUUUGAGAGGAGCUGUCCUUAGUACGAGAGGACCGGGAUGGACGCACCGCUGGUGUACCAGUUGUCUUGCCAAAGGCAUCGCUGGGUAGCUAUGUGCGGAAGGGAUAAGUGCUGAAAGCAUCUAAGCAUGAAGCCCCCCUCAAGAUGAGAUUUCCCAUAGUUUAACUAGUAAGAUCCCUGAAAGAUGAUCAG